rnacentral:rRNA from 1 species
AGCUAUACAUGCAAGUCGAGCGAGCCGAACUAAUUGAUUACCUUCGGGUAUGAAGUUAGGGAAGCGAGCGGCGGAUGGGUGAGUAACACGUGGGUAACCUACCCUAUAGUCUGGGAUACCACUUGGAAACAGGUGCUAAUACCGGAUAAAAGGAGAGAUCACAUGAUUUCUUUUUGAAAGGCGGCGUAAGCUGUCGCUAAAGGAUGGACCCGCGGUGCAUUAGCUAGUUGGUAAGGUAACGGCUUACCAAGGCAACGAUGCAUAGCCGAGUUGAGAGACUGAUCGGCCACAUUGGGACUGAGACACGGCCCAAACUCCUACGGGAGGCAGCAGUAGGGAAUCUUCCACAAUGGACGCAAGUCUGAUGGAGCAACGCCGCGUGAGUGAAGAAGGUUCUCGGAUCGUAAAGCUCUGUUGUUGGUGAAGAAAGAUAGUGAGAGUAACUGCUCAUUAUUUGCCGGUAAUCAACCAGAAAGUCACGGCUAACUACGUGCCAGCAGCCGCGGUAAUACGUAGGUGGCAAGCGUUGUCCGGAUUUAUUGGGCGUAAAGCGAGCGCAGGCGGAAAGAUAAGUCAGAUGUGAAAGCCCUCGGCUUAACCGAGGAAUAGCAUCGGAAACUGUCUUUCUUGAGUGCAGAAGAGGAGAGUGGAAUUCCAUGUGUAGCGGUGGAAUGCGUAGAUAUAUGGAAGAACACCAGUGGCGAAGGCGGCUCUCUGGUCUGUAACUGACGCUGAGGCUC